rnacentral:lncRNA from 1 species
AUAGUCUUUAGUCCUAGUUGUCAGUUGUUGAUCUAUCGAUGAUAAAUUAUACACAUGCAGAUAGAAAAGAGUUAGGAGUCGAUGAAGAUGACCUUUGAAUUCUUGGGAAGACUCGUACAAUCGUACAAAAUUAUAAGGAUUGAAGCUAUUAAGAUUGGUUAAGACUAACCCUUAAUUAACUUCUGCUUAUGGCAGAAAAGUGACUUUGGUGAGAGACUUCUGAUUGGCUUGGAGACGAAUGACAGACUGUUUGCAUGUCUUAUUCUCUCAAAUUUGGCAACCGACUGUGUGGAGAUGGCAACUGACUUGUGACACUCGUUACCAAUGUCUAGUGUCUGACUCUCCACUUCUGCUUAAGUUUCAGGGACAGAUUCCUGACCCAUCAUCUAAUACAUCAAUUCUUUCCCAGGGGGAAGACAAUGUUUUGCAUUGUCUUACAACCCAGGUUACAAUUUUCUCAUCAACCUUGUUGCCAUAUACAUGUCAACUUAUUCUUUAUUGUUAUUAAUGUAGAGGACAGUUUUCCAAACUAGGUGAUAUAAAAAACAAAUCUGUUAAUUGUUUAUCCAUCUAGAGUGUAACUCCAGUUAAAUUCCUUUUUGAUAUUUUUUUGUAGAAGAG